rnacentral:tRNA from 1 species
ACCUGGCUGGCUUAGUCAGAAAAGCAAGUGACUCUUGAUCUCAGGGUCGUGAGUUCGAGCCCCACAUCAGGUG